rnacentral:other from 1 species
CAUCCCCUGUGGGGUUGGUGAUGGGUUUUCCUAUUUUAGAACCAACACUAACGCUCAGGGAGUCUUUCACCUGCGUGGCCUGUGCGAGCCCCGCCAGUACGGGGAGCUAAUGGCUCGUGGAGCGGACACCCACCUGAUGAUUCAGGUUCUAGAGCGGCAGCCCACACGGCUUCGCGGGGGAUGC